GAUACUGCCUGAUAUGGGGAGCCUUGGCUCCUGGACAGGAACCUAACUCCUGGCUUUUUACAGGGAUGACAGUUGGUCUACAGAACCGCAAAUCUAUGUUGAACAGGCUAAGACUUGACCAGUUCCAGCUUUGAGCAACUUGAAGGCCAACUGCCCUGAGUUGAUGAACUCCUGCUUCCUAAUUGGGUUUUUUUGUUUGUUUGUUUUGUUUUUGCUUUUUAAAAACGUCUUGAGUUUAUUAUGGCCAAAGGCUAGGCGAGCAGAGAACCUGCUCAUAGCCGACCUUGAGAAACGUAGGCAGAACGUCCAUUGGCGGCAGAGGGCGGAGGAGGUGUUGGGCCGAGCCCUACGAUAGAGGCUGCAGCAGGAGCCUGUGCUCUCCCUUCUGAUGGCUGCCUGGGAAGUCAGACACUAUUCUCGGAGGUCCAACUUCACAGUGAGGAAGGCAAGACACCUAAACAGAAGGUCAUCUUCCCUUAGAUUUCUUCUAAGGCUUAGAAGAACAGAAGGGACAUAAAUGCCUUUAAUUUGCAGGCUGAGUUGGAUGAAAGGGAGGUUUUAAGACUCUUAGAGGCCGUCUUAGCUGAAUUAUGGAGCUGCUCCCUAAGAGACGAACCUCAGGCAAUUCUCUAAAAAGACCAUCUGGGCGGUCAAGAGCUGAACGCCGCUUGGUUUUCCCUUCUCCUUGCUUUGACUGGGACCCAAAAUAUGACAGUCGUCUGAUUCAAAUG
rnacentral:lncRNA from 1 species